AUUGGAUUACCGGGUUUUAGACAAGAGCAUGAAAAAGUAAUGAAUUAACUGCCUUCUAUGGCAGUCUUUAACUCUUUUUAAGCCAGCAAAAGCUCCGCUACUCACUCUUUUAAAUAGAUCACAGCAACUGGAAUCAGAUGGUGCCAUUCUCAUCUUGUUGCUGUAUCGAUUGAGAUGAGAGGAGCUUCUCCGAGUCCCGUGGAGCCCAGACUCCGUUUGUCUGCUUCAGCUAAAGCUUGGGACUUGGGAGGGCGACGAGUGGUGGCGAAUGGCGAUCGGCGAGAGGGCGACGAGUGGACUGGGUCCGGUGCCGGCGGUUGUUCAAGUGGUGGCGUUGCUUGGGAGUUCAAUCGGGUGGUGGCUGGCCGGAGGAUGCUGCCUGCGAGUGGCGAUUGGCGAUGCGAAUGCUAGGGCUUCAAUUUCGUUUUGUGAGAAUCUGAGAUUGUGUUGACUGUUGAGUGCUGUCACUGUUGUGUAUUGUGUUUUCAUCUUGAAAUCCAACGGUGGUAAUUAGAUGGUGAGAGAUCAAUGGCUUACAAAAUUUCAUAGAAAUAAUUUAAUGAAAAUAAUUUUUGCAAAAUGGCUCUUUGGUUAUGAAACGGUUCGGUUCGGGUUGGGUGGGUUAAAAUUCCUUCCAACCCGUAACCCGAACCGAAAAUCUAACAUUUUUAUAUGUAUAACCCGACCCAAACCGAUUAAACAAUAAAAACCAACCCAAACCGACCCAAAUUCUUCGGUUUGGUCGGUUUUGUCGGGUCAGGUCGGUUUUUGUCCACUCCUACUUAGCGUGCCGUGGUGGAGAUGUGAUUAUGUGUACAUCCCUGUCAACAAUGGAGGUGCCCAUUGGUUGGCAGCAUGUGUGGACUUGAAGGCUCGACAUAUUGAUUUAUACGAUUCAAAUAUAAGAAAUAAAUAUGUCCAGAAUAAAGAGUUGGACAAUGCGAAAUGCCUCAAGUAUAUGCUGCCUUACCUAUUGAGGUAUGGGGGAUAUUACGAGAAGAAUCCGGAAGUGCUUCCCACUUUAGAGCCAUUCAAGAUGACCAUGAUCAAAGAUGCACCCUGCCAAGAUAAUGAGUAUGAAUGUGUAGUCAUUUGCAACCACUUCUAUUGCUGCUGUUUAAUUGUGCUUACGUGUAGAAAUUCACGUGGUUGGUUUUCAUUAAUGCUAUUCAUUAAUGCUAUUCUGUAGGGGUGAUUGUGGCGUCUUCACUUUGAAAUUUAUUGAAUACAAGAGCAGUGAGGAGAACCUUUUAUUUGGCCUAGAAGACAUUAGCUUGUUUAGAAAAAAAUAUGUUGUUGACUUGUGCUUUAAUAAAUUUUCAAUGUAGAUCGUAUGUUUAAUAUUAUGACAUCCUAU